rnacentral:tRNA from 1 species
GGUGAUUAGCUCAGCUGGGAGAGCACCUCCCUUACAAGGAGGGGGUCGGCGGUUCGAUCCCGCAUAGCUCCACCA